CGCCUCUUGACAAAUUAUAAGAGGUCCAGCCUGCCCAGUGACAAAGUUCAACGGCCGCGGUACCCUAACCGUGCGAAGGUAGCAUAAUCACUUGUUCUUUAAAUAAGGACUAGUAUCAACGGCACCACGAGGGCCAUACUGUCUCCUUUCUCCAAUCAGUGAAACUGAUCUCCCCGUGAAGAAGCGGGGAUUAGCAUAUAAGACGAGAAGACCCCAUGGAGCUUUAAACUCAUCAUACACCUCUAUUUACCCACAACAUUAUAGCCUAAAAGAUUUGUAUGCUGGUUUUAGGUUGGGGGGACCGCGGAGUAAAAACUAACCUCCACGACAAAUGGGCUAUGCCCUUAUCUGAGAACUACAAUUCUAAUAAUCAAUAAACUGAUGUUUAAUGACCCGAACAAUCGAUCAACGAACCAAGUUACCCUGGGGAUAACAGCGCAAUCUACUCCAAGAGCCCCUAUCGACAAGUAGGUUUACGACCUCGAUGUUGGAUCAGGGUAUCCCAGUGGUGCAGCCACUACUAAAGGUUCGUUUGUUCAACGAUUAAAACCCU
rnacentral:rRNA from 1 species